CGUGCGGGCGCUGCACGGGGGGGCCCCGCUCGCGCAGACGGGGCGUUCAUUGAGGUUUUAGAAGUCUGCGGAGGCGCCCGCUCCUGCGGUAUCAGGUAAAGUGUUGACAUACUCCAAACCCAUCUUUUUUCUCGGCUUCCCGUGAACGUCAAGGCAUGCCUCUGAACCUCGCGGGUUAAUGCAUCAAGUAUCUGGAAAGCCACCUUUUGCAAAAUUAUAAAUCCUGUAAAUUAAUUUUAAGUUAUAGAAAUUUUAGCUUGCUAUAUAAAAUUUAAGACUAUAACUUCUCUUGAUCUUGUAAAUCUUAAGAUUGUAGGUUUUCCUUAGUCGGUUCUUUCUCGUUCAAGUGACAGUUUCGACUGACUUGGGAACCUACGACCGUUUCUCAUCGUAGGUGCCCCGAAGUGUCUCGGCUGGACUCUUGUAAGCGGUGCUUUGUAGGCUGCAGAACGCAUUGAUUUUUUUUUUCCUGUGCUUUGCUUGUUAUGAAUAAACACUGGCGGCUCCAAGGUGGAUGAGUUAACCCUUUGUCUUAAAAAAUAACCAUUUGGGCAUUUUUUCAGGAUGACCUCAACUUUGUGUAUUUUCUCCAGAAUGUUAAAAUACUUUCAUUUGCUACGUAAUGUUUUAAGCACACUGUUUUCUUGCAAGGAAGCAGGGCCAAGCAAAGUUUGUAAGGUUAUGGUGAACCACAGACCUUGUAGCUGAAAGUGGCCUCAAGGUGACAUGAUCAAACCCUCUUCUGCCAGGAAGAUUUUGAGGAAAGGGAUGGGUGAGAGCCAGAAAGGUCAGGUGGUGUCCCUGUAUUCUGUGACACAGUAUUCUGACGGUAAAUCCUUGCAAAGGUGGACUGUUUUGUGAUUGUGUACACGUUCUCCACAAUUAAAUUCAAAACUAUUUAAAUUAUAUACUCAAGGAAAAAAGCACGUAUACAUAUAUCCCUAGCAAUGUGCGUGACCUUAAAAAAUUAAGUUUUUAAUAUUAAAUAAUGCUUGUGGAUAUAUUGUAAAAAUUCACACUUAGGGUUUGUUUUUUUUGGGGGGGCAAACACAUUAUUGUAAUAGAUUUUGAAAUAAACACUAAAGGUUUCCAUAAUGACUUAACAGUUGUCUCACUUUCACUGUGCUGUGAACAGGCACUGCUGUGCCCAAUGUCCUGGGUGUAGGAACCAGGCGUCCUGGUCCUGCCCAGCGCCACAGGGAGAGUAAGGCCCAUUAGGGCUCUGAUCUUGUUUUUGUGAUGCUAAAAGUCAUGCUGUAUUCAUUCGCCCUGUUUGUAAUAGUAUUUGGCAAGUUUUUAGUCAAAGGUUGGUUGUUUAACAUCAAAAGUGGCAACAAGCCUUCCUAACUUUAGGCACCUUUUCCCUUGCACAGGUAUACUGUGAGAUCAGGUCUCAGGCCUGGCCAGGCUGAGCUCUGUUGCCAGAGCGCUCUUUUCAUUCCAUGUAUUUCCACAGAAAUCACCCUACUGAGAACUUUGUGACUUUGUAACACUUUGAUGGGAUUUUAUAAUAAAAAAAAUUCCAAGUUCUAUUAUAUUGGCUAUAUUUCCAUUUUUUUGAGUGUCUUUUAGUAAGAAGCAACCACAUUGGCACUAAAGUGCUUUUAACAUUGUUUUACCCGCCUUAAAAAUAAAGGGUCUUGACGAAGGGAGCACUUCAGAACUGCCGGGUCCCCAGUGGUUCUGAACCAUAAGCUUUGGGUGGGGCCCGGGUCAGUGCUCUUACUGCGCAUCACAAAUCCUGCUGAUGUCCACUGCAGGCCUGAACCACUCAUCUAAUUCUGAACAUGCAUGGCAGAAAAGACAUUCUUUUUGUUUCCCCUUUUGAAAUGCAGUGUAGAAAAACUUCUUUUUGGUUGAUUUUAACUCUCCAGGAGCCUGAUCACAGGAUUGGGGCUGGAUGGGCAUUAUGAUCUGUUGGGCCAUAUCCUUGUACCCUGCGUGUGUGUGGCUUCUGCAGCUCCCCGGCUGUAAGCCCUGUAUUGAGAUGUACCUAGUGAUGGAGCAUCUGGUGAAUGAAUGCUUUUCCAGUACCACGUAUGGCAAGCAACAUUCAUGUCAUUGUUGCAUUUUUUUAGAACAUGAAUUCAGUGAAAAAACUUGAUCACUUCCCAGGCUGGGUUGUGAACUUCUGACUCCUUAAACAGUGCACUGUGAAGGAGACCCAAAUGUUCCCCAGCGCCCCCACAGCAUAAUAGCUUAUGCUUUAUUAUUACUAAAUAUAGUAAUUAAUGUUUUUGUGAAACUUGCUUAUUUUAUAUAAUUAUGACCCUUUAUAAAAUAAACUUUUAAACCUGAUGUCAUUUGCCGAAUUUUUUUCAUCAUGUGGAAUCAUAACAUCUCAUUGCUGAAUACCAGAUUGCACAAUCCCACACGAUCUUGUUUAAUCUUUACAACAAUCUUGUGAAGUAUAUGGUGGUGUCUUGUUUUUAGGCUUUAAACAGGGUUACUUCUGCAAAGCUAACAAGUGGUAGAACAUUUAGUAAGUUAUUUCUGUUUUCUUCUCUCCUGUCCUUGAGAGAGGGAAACCCUCUUCUUCCCAUCUCUGUGAUUCUAAAUUGAGCCCCACUGCACUAGAUGGCUACCUGGAGAUGCCUCAGCUUCUAUUCAGCUUUAUAUAAAUGGCCUUGGUUCUUCCCGAGAACAGAAAGACCAACCCUGUGGUGGAUGGUGGCACUGGAGCAACAGCUACAACUGAAAGUCAUGCCCCUAGAGCUUCGAACUUGGGGCUUACAGGCCUUAAAAACGUGAUCAAGUUGUACUUAGCUCGAUACUUGGGGCAUGACAGAAAAUUAUUUUCUCAUUAAAAAUGUACCUGGCCUGGGCCUCCCCGGUGGCGCAGCGGUUGAGCGCUGGGUUGCGGUUCGAUUCCCGGCUGCUCCCCGGCCACCGGAGGAGGGUCCCACAUGGCGCGCAGACCUCUCCUGCAUGGCGCGCAGACCUCUCCUGACGCCCACUGCUCCCCUCAGCAGUGUACUUCGGUCCUUCUGCCUGCUCUGCUCCCUGCUCUGGCUCUGGUGAAUUCUCUCACCCUCCCGCGCUUCUGACUCUACCCAGUGCUUGCAUAAAUUAAUAAAUAAAUAAAUCUUUUAAAAAAAAAAAUGUACCUGGCCUUGGUCUCCUGUUUUAGAAAGUGGGCUGCUGGAAAGGGUGUUUGGUUUUUUUUAAAUACUGCCUACUAGAAACUCAAAUCUUGAGUCUGGGAGUUGUUCACUAUCCCAGCACCACCCCAAAGGCUAAUCUACCUGGGACUGCUGACCUUUCACUUGGGAAGUCCAAAAGUUAAAUAGAGGCAUCCUGUGAAUUUCUUAAGAGAUUAUUUCAACCCCACAGCUUGUUCACCACAGGCCAGAAAAUGCUCCUUAACAACCAAAGGUUCCUUUCCCCUUGGGGGAAAAUGGGAUGUUGCACUGAGGCUUCUGGCCUUGGGGAAGUUCUGUGCACUCCGGAACAAGGGUCUAAAGGACAUCAAAUUAUCUGAAUUUCUGCCCUUGCUUCCCCUGCCCCAUCCCAGUUCAGGCCUUCUAUUGCUUUUGUUUCCUGAUCCAACCUGUCUCCACCAGGCUGCCUCCAGACAGCCUGCCUUCAUGCUGCUACCUCGUGUUCUGAAACAGCCUUUCUUAGCCCUGUUCCUACAGUUACUCAAUGAUUCUGCAUUGCUUAGGUCUGCAGUGCAAACAAUUGGUGUAGGUCUGGCAGUUACCUUAAAGAGUAGUAGGCUGCCAUAUAAGCACCGUGUGUUAAAUGGUCCUAGCAAGACCUGAGAGCUCACUACCCACCUAAAGGGGCAGCUUCUCAUCACCUGGAAUGUGGCCCCAGGUAGGUAUCUUGAUUUCUCAAGAGAAGAAAUUAUCUGGAUUUCCGCCCUUGCUUCCCGCGCCCCUUCCCAGAAGUCCAGAUUUAUAAAUGUGAAGUCUGGGGCUUAAAAAUGUUGGCCUUUAAUUUAGUAGCUGUUAAUUUAGUAGCUGUUUUCUUUAACUAUGUAGCAAAUCUGCAUCUCUUAACACAGACCUGAGGUUUAGAACCAGUUUGGGACCUCUGACUACUCAGACCAACAGCUGAGCCAGAGCAACUCAAGUCCUCCACAGGGGUCUGUCCGCCGUGAGAUUAGAGCAUCACUCAGGGUCCUCUUCCAAGAAGAGCGCUGUUGCAUGCAGGGAGAACUUGGAUUCCUUCUAUUAGCAUGUUUUCAUCUUCCACGGAGAGGGAACUUGGCAUGCAGUAAACAAGUCCAUGCCUGGGUUAACUGUACUUGGGGUGGGGGCCUAUUACUCCGGCUCCCAGCCUGCCAGGUGUUUAGCAGGGUUAGGAGGUGAGUGGAGAGUCCCACUAGUUAAGUGUGGCCAGGAUGAUGUGUCUCACCUAGGUCCCCGGCAACGUGAAUGCCACCAAUGCCCACGCUUCACCUGCUGAGGGCUAGGAGUCCUGGUCCAGCCUGAAUGUGGCACUGAUAGUAGUUGGCGUUCCAUUCCCAAAAGCUGGGCACUUGAGUACCCCAAGACUAAGAUCAGAAUGAGGAGCUUGAGUCACUGAUGAUCUUCCUGUUUAAACUGGAAAGUGAUACAGCGAGAGCUCCAAGGAGACCUCUGCACACAAAGGCUCCCUAAACAAAAGCUAGUUUCAGCUUAGAAUUAGGAUAGUGGCAGGAAAGGGGCUGGAUGCAUUUCAUCUGGAGGGGGAUCCAUGGGUUCAGGAUUGCACAUGUGCAUUCUUAGAUUAUGCUGCUUCACACAUUCCAUGUUCAGAGGAUGGCGGGCAAAUCUCAGAGGUAGAGAUCUUACUGUGGUGAGUCUGUGGGUACUGUAGGUCAGUCGGCAAUCCUGUGCGCUUGCACAGUGGUUUAUGCUGGUUCUGCUUGGGGCUCCAGGCUCCCCUGAUGCUGCAAGGAUUCUGCUGUAAAGGUAACUUGACAUACAGUAAGACAGGCAUUUUAUAGGGCAUCUGUAUGUUGCUUGCCCAGGGCAAGAUACUUGAAACUACCACUCAGCUAUUUCGGGAUCCCGAUGGCCAACUCCUUGCUCCCACUCUCCGUCACGCAGACUUGCAGGUCCCCGUAGCAUCACACGCCUCCUAGCUAUACCUUGUGUCCUUCAGUCCUCAGUUUUGUCCACUUGUUUUUCCAGAGAAUAAACAUCCUGUCUCCUGCCUGGACAGGGAGAGGGCCAUCACCUUCCUGUGGCGGGUAGGACUAGGAGAUGUGAUCCUCCACUGGUCCUCACGUCUCCGUCCCACCCUGGCCUUCGCUGGCCCCUGUGCCUCUCCGGGGCAGGAGAGUAACAAGGGAUCCCACCUGCCCGCCCUCUGCUUUAUGUAAAACAGGCCCAGCACGAGGAGCAGCCAUAAGCGGGCAGGACUGAGCCCCUGGCCCCCAGCGAGCAUCUUCCAGGCUUCAGUCACACAGCGG